rnacentral:rRNA from 1 species
GUUAGAAUAUUGAAAUUAUUUUUUUUAGUACGAGAGGAUCAAAAAAAUUAUACCACUAAUAUAUCAAUUAUUAUUUGUUGUAAUGUUGAGUAGUUAAGUAUAAAAUUUUAAUUGUUGAAAGAAUAUAAAUAAGAAAAUUUAAUUAAAAAUAAUAUUCUAAUCAAUUUAAAGAAUAAAACAAUAAUUAGAAAAAUUAUUUUAUAGGUUUAAUAUAUAUUUAUAGUAAUAUAUUUAGUAUAUAAUCCCUAAUAAGUUGA